rnacentral:sRNA from 1 species
GCAGCUCACACGCUUCUCCAGCACUCUUACUUCAUUGUGUCUUGGAGAUGAUGCCCUCACACCCAUCCCCCUUUCCCAAGCCCAUGAGUCCCUCGAGGCAGGAACUGUCCUCUUUCUGUCUGGGAGCACAGUGGUUGGCACACAGGUGGGAAACAGUAAAUACCUCUAGAAUGAUAAGGAGCAGGGCUAUUUUAUCAGGGUCUCUCAUGUGCCAAGGCUUAUGCCAGCUAUUCACUCAAGGGGCAUUCCUGCAGUGCUGUGUGUCGCAUCUAGGCUCUGAGCCCACCAGACGGAUGCAGAGAUGCACACUGGCCGCCCCAGCCCUCAAGGAGUUCAUGUCCAGUGGAGGAAGUGGCAAUAACGCCCAUAUCUUGAGGGCUUCAUUGAAAGAGUGUUCCCUGAGCAUCUAGGCCAUGCCUAGCACUGUGUGCUAGAGGGUACGGACGUGUCAUCCCAUGGAACCUGAAGGCACAAUUACUGAGCUCAUCAUUGCUGUUGUUCAGGCCACUGAGACAAGUUAAGUAACUUACUCAAAGACACACAGCCAGCAAGUUAAGCCCUGACCUGACAUUGAUGACUACAGCACAAGUGGACAACGACUUUGUUGCAUGAAAUCUCAGUGUGUAUAUAUUUAGUUAUUUAUAUAUAGUAUUUUAUAUAUUAUAUAUUAUAUAUAAUUAUAUGUUAUAUAUAUAUAUAGUAUCAGUUAUUUAUAUAUAGUAACUGUACUAAUGAUAAUAACAGAGUAGCUAGGACCUAUGGAAGGUCUUUUUUAUGUUGUGAUCAUUAUGCCUAUCAUUCCGAGUAGUCUCUACCACCCUGGAAAAUAAGUACCUUUAUAUCCCAGCUUGCAAAAGUGGAAACUGAGGCAAAAAGAAGUGAAAUCACUUGGCCCAGGUCCACAGCUAAGAAAGGGUAGAGUUUGGGGGGUCAAUCCAGGCCUGUCUUCUUGCAAUCCCUGUGCCAGGAUCCAGGGUGCCCCAGCAGGCUGGUGGAGGGCUGGGGAGAGGUGCAUAUCCUGGGCUGGAGCCCUGGGCAGGGCUCAGCUACUGUGAGGCCGCUGCCUCUGGCAGCGGGAUCUGGGCAGCUCUGCAGAGAGGGCUGUGCCGCUUUGCGGGUCACCGAUGGGGGUGCGGUUUUUCCUCCUCCGCAGUGGCAGAGGACGACGGCAGCUGUGAGGUGAACGGCCGCCUGUAUCGGGAGGGGGAGACCUUCCAGCCCCACUGCAGCAUCCGCUGCCGCUGCGAGGACGGCGGCUUCACCUGCGUGCCUCUGUGCAGCGAGGACGUGCGGCUGCCCAGCUGGGACUGCCCCCACCCCAGGAGGGUCGAGGUCCUGGGCAAGUGCUGCCCUGAGUGGGUGUGCGGCCAAGGAGGGGAACUGGGGACCCAGCCCCUUCCAGCCCAAGGACCCCAGUUUUCUGGCCUUGUCUCUUCCCUGCCCCCUGGUGUCCCCUGCCCAGAAUGGAGCACAGCCUGGGGACCCUGCUCGACCACCUGUGGGCUGGGCAUGGCCAGCCGGGUGUCCAACCAGAACCGCUUCUGCCGACUGGAGACCCAGCGCCGCCUGUGCCUGUCCAGGCCCUGCCCGCCCCCCAGGGGUCGAAGUCCACAAAACAGUGCCUUCUAGAGCUGGGCUGGGAAUGGGGACACGGUGUCCACCAUCCCCAGCUGGUGGCCUUGUGCCUGGGCCCUGGGCUGAUGGAAGAUGGUCCGUGCCCACGCCCUUGGCUGCAGGCAGCACUUUAGCUUGGGUCCACCAUGCAGGACACCAAUAUUAACACGCUGCCUAGUCUGUCUGGAUCCCAAGGUACAGCAGACGUGCAAGACCUAGUCCCCUUUCCUCUAACUCACUGCCUAGGAGGCUGGCCAAGGUGUCCAGGGUCCUCUAGCCCACUCCCUGCCUACACACACAGCCUAUAUCAAACAUGCACAUGGGCGAGCUUUCUCUCCAACUUCCCCUGGGCAAGAGAUGGGACAAGCGUUCCCUUAAUAUUGAGGCUGCAGCAGGUGCUGGGCUGGACUGGCCAUUUUUCCGGGGGCAGGAUGAAGAGAAGGCACACAGAGAUUCUGGAUCUCCUGCUGCCUUUUCUGGAGUUUGUAAAAUCAUUCCUGAAUACAAGCCUAUGCGUGAUCUUGUGUGUCAGGCCUGUGUUUUCUGAGAAAGUCCUCCCAUUAUCCGGGGCAGAAUUCAGGGGCGGAGUUCUCUGUGAACGUCACAGGGUGAAAUCACAUGGUCUUAAAGAAAGCCAGAAGACAGGCCUUCAAGUGAUCCAAGAAACUCAAUUCGUAUUAAUAGUAAUUAACUUUUUUAUUUAUUUAUUUUUUUGAGAUGGAGUUUUGCUCUUGUUGCCCAGGCUGGAGCUGGAGUACAAUAGCACGAUCUCGACUCACUGCAGCCUCCCGGGUUCAAGUGAUUCUCCUGCCUCAAGACUCCUGAGUAGCUGGGAUUAUAGGCACAUGCCACCAUGCUCAGCAUCUUUUUUUUUUAAAUAUAUUUUUAGUAGAGAUGGGGUUUAGCCAUGUUGGUCAGGCUGGUCUCGAACUCCUGAACUCAAGUGAUCCGCCCGCCUCAGCCUCCCAAAGUGCUGGGAUUACAGGCGUGAGCUACUGCGCCCAGCCAAUAAUUAACAUUUCUUGAGUGCCUACUAUGUGCUAGGCACUAGCACUUUAUACAGACCAGUGCUUCCCAGCAUUUUUGACCAGAGAAGAGCAGGGAGAAUGAAGGCUGCCUCCCAGGGACUGGGGAGCAUAGCCUGAAAUCAACUAACCCAAGGGUGAAAUUGUUCAAAGUCUCAUGUUUUAUUGUUUACAAACAAAACAAAAC